rfam:Capnocytophaga sp. oral taxon 338 str. F0234 genomic scaffold SCAFFOLD1, whole genome shotgun sequence.
AAGGAAAAACCCGAAAAUCCUUUAAUAGAGUAGGGA